CUUUGGAGUAUCACAUCAAGUGAAAGUAGCUUGUUGUAGUUUGACUUGCAAAAUCAGAUACGUUGAAAAAGAAA
rnacentral:sRNA from 1 species